rnacentral:rRNA from 1 species
CCUACGGGAGGCAGCAGUAGGGAAUCUUUCACAAUGGGCGAAAGCCUGAUGGAGCAACGCCGCGUGCAGGAUGAAGGCCUUCGGGUUGUAAACUGCUUUUAUAAGCGAGAAAUAUGAUGGUAACUUAUGAAUAAGGAUCGGCUAACUACGUGCCAGCAGCCGCGGUCAUACGUAGGAUCCGAGCAUUAUCCGGAGUGACUGGGUGUAAAGAGUUGCGUAGGUGGCAUAAUAAGUAGCUAGUGAAAUCUGGUGGCUCAACCAUUCAGACUAUUAGCUAAACUGUUAAGCUCGAGACCGUUAGGGGUAACUGGAAUUUCUAGUGUAGGAGUGAAAUCCGUAGAUAUUAGAAGGAACACCAAUAGCGUAGGCAGGUUGCUGGGACGGUUCUGACACUAAGGCACGAAAGCGUAGGGAGCAAACGGGAUUAGAUACCAGAGUAGUC